AUGAGUGCCGCAACCCAUAGUCACCUUUGACUGGACUUAACCAUCCAGGGGUCCUUUACCUUUUACCAUAUGUACCUCAAUCCAGGAUGCAUUGGCUCCGAUAAAAUCAUAAAGAUUUGGUUCAAGAAUGUACUAUUAAUAGUUGAACAUGUAUUUUUCCAGAAAGAGAAACCUGGAACACGUUAAUGGAGUUUUGCAAAAGCUUAAAACAAUUUGCAGUUUCUCAAAAAGAAGAAGAAGAAGAAGAUGUAAAGGGGUGAAAGAGAAUUGAAAUUAUUAAUGCUUUUCAGCAAAGGUAUGGUGCAAUAAUACUUAAUCACACUUGGAUCCCUGCGUGCAACCUAGGACAAUUUAAAGAAGAGAUGUAAGCCUUGGUCUGUUACUCUUUAUUUGCAAUCUAAAUCAUUUCUUCACACUCAUUAGAACAGGGUUCCAAGCACUCUCAUGAACUAGGUGUUACAUACAAUGAUUGCUGAACCAAGGAAAUAUUCUGCCUAUGUAUGUAGCCAAUCCUCAUUUACACAUGCACAGAGCAUUUACUGGUAGAAUGGGGGUCCAACUCUCCCAAAAUGUCUUCUUUAAAAACUGAAAAGGGGGGCCAUGACUAGACAUUGACAUCAGAAUAGUUGUCUAUGGCUUUCGCUCUUGUUUUCUCCUAUUUUAACCCUGUAAAGAAACAAGAAUAUGUUAUUUCACACUGCAGAAUUGGCCCCAUGUUCAACCCGUAGGAUACUAGCUUUGCAAAAAUUAGAGAAUGGCAAAGAACACCAGUAUUGUGCAUAUUAUAAACAUACUGUUUGCUGCUUUCUAUACAACACACAGCUUAUUAAAACAAGUUCACUGUGACAUUGGCAAGUGUAUUUACCAUAUAGAACAGUGAUAUUGCCAAAUCAGUGUAAACAUUUUGGUCAUGGCCUAAUGAAUUUAUUGUCUAGUCAGCUGUAAUUCUUUCAAAAUUAUACUCACAAAAAGUAAGACAAAAUAGUAACUAAAUUAUAAGCAGAACUGUUUGCAUAUGCUUAGUUUAUUAUAUAGGAAUAAAACUAGGAAUAAAAGAAUGGGAAAGGAAAGGUAGGAAACAGUGCUUUUAGGACAAGAAUUGUGAUCUAGGGUAUAUAUGUGCUAUGAUAAGGGGGAGAAGAGAUUUCAAAGGCUGCUGCAACUACUCCAAUAAAAAAAGAUGAGCUUC